rnacentral:rRNA from 1 species
GUCCACGCCGUAAACGAUGGAUGCUAGUCGUCGCGGGUAUUGACCCCUGCGGCAACGCAGUUAACGCAUUAAGCAUCCCGCCUGGGGAGUACGGCCGCAAGGCUAAAACUCAAAGGAAUUGACGGGGGCCCGCACAAGCGGUGGAGCAUGUGGUUCAAUUCGACGCAACGCGCAGAACCUUACCUGGGUUAAAUCCACCGGAACCCCGCAGAGAUGUGGGGGUGCCCGCAAGGGAGCCGGUGAGAAGGUGCUGCAUGGCUGUCGU